GGGCUAUGUAGCCACAGAAUAGGGUAACAUAUUAUGCAUGACAUAGAGGCGGAAGGUCU
rnacentral:tRNA from 1 species